rnacentral:rRNA from 1 species
UAAAAAGUGGGGAAAGAAGCAGUGGGAAGACGAAGGAUGCAACGGUUAGUCGGAUUCAUUGGGUUUAAAGGGGGCGUAGGUGGGCUUAGAAGUCAGUGGUGAAAUCCUGUCGCUUAACGAUAGAAUUGCCAUUGAUACUGUAGGACGUGAGUACAGUUGCCGUUGGCGGAAUAUGACAUGUAGUGGUGAAAUACAUAGAUAUGUCAUAGAACACCGAUUGCGAAGGCAGCUGACGAAACUGUAACUGACACUGAGGCUCGAAAGUGUGGGGAUCAAACAGGAUUAGAUACCCCAGUAGUC